rnacentral:rRNA from 1 species
UGGACCCUACGGGAGGCAGCAGUGGGGAAUAUUGCACAAUGGGGGGAACCCUGAUGCAGCGACGCCGCGUGGGUGAAGGAGUAUUUCGGUAUGUAAAGCCCUAUCAGCAGGGAAGAACAAUGACGGUACCUGACUAAGAAGCACCGGCUAAAUACGUGCCAGCAGCCGCGGUAAUACGUAGGCAGCAAGCGUUAUCCGGAUUUACUGGGUGUAAAGGGCGCGUAGGCGGGAUGGCAAGUCAGAUGUGAAAUCCAGGGGCUCAACCCCUGAACUGCAUUUGAAACUGUCGUUCUUGAGUACUGGAG